CCUACGGGAGGCAGCAGUGGGGAAUAUUGCACAAUGGGGGAAACUCUGAUGCAGCAACGCCGCGUGAAGGAAGACGGUUCUCGGAUUGUAAACUUCUGUUUUUAGUGAUGUAUAAUGAUGGUAGCUUAGGAGCAAGUCACGGCGAACUACGUGACAGCAGCCGCGGUCAUACGGAGGAGGCAAGCGUUAUCCGGAAUUACUGGGGGUAAAGGGAGCGCAGGCGGGUAGCCAAGUCAGUUGUGAAAGCUUCGGGCUCAACUUGUAGACUGCAGUUGAAACUGGUAUUCUUGAGUGAAGUAGAGGUGGGCGGAAUUCGGGGUGUAGCGGUGAAAUGCGUAGAUAUUCCGAAGAACUCCGAUUGCGAAGGCAGCCAACUGGACUGUAACUGACACUGAGGCUCGAAAGUGUGGGGAGCAAACAGGAUUAGAUACCCGGGUAGUC
rnacentral:rRNA from 1 species